AGAGUUUGAUCCUGGCUCAGGACGAACGCUGGCGGCGUGCCUAAUACAUGCAAGUCGAACGCUUCUUUUUCCACCGGAGCUUGCUCCACCGGAAAAAGAGGAGUGGCGAACGGGUGAGUAACACGUGGGUAACCUGCCCAUCAGAAGGGGAUAACACUUGGAAACAGGUGCUAAUACCGUAUAACAAUCGAAACCGCAUGGUUUUGAUUUGAAAGGCGCUUUCGGGUGUCGCUGAUGGAUGGACCCGCGGUGCAUUAGCUAGUUGGUGAGGUAACGGCUCACCAAGGCCACGAUGCAUAGCCGACCUGAGAGGGUGAUCGGCCACAUUGGGACUGAGACACGGCCCAAACUCCUACGGGAGGCAGCAGUAGGGAAUCUUCGGCAAUGGACGAAAGUCUGACCGAGCAACGCCGCGUGAGUGAAGAAGGUUUUCGGAUCGUAAAACUCUGUUGUUAGAGAAGAACAAGGAUGAGAGUAACUGUUCAUCCCUUGACGGUAUCUAACCAGAAAGCCACGGCUAACUACGUGCCAGCAGCCGCGGUAAUACGUAGGUGGCAAGCGUUGUCCGGAUUUAUUGGGCGUAAAGCGAGCGCAGGCGGUUUCUUAAGUCUGAUGUGAAAGCCCCCGGCUCAACCGGGGAGGGUCAUUGGAAACUGGGAGACUUGAGUGCAGAAGAGGAGAGUGGAAUUCCAUGUGUAGCGGUGAAAUGCGUAGAUAUAUGGAGGAACACCAGUGGCGAAGGCGGCUCUCUGGUCUGUAACUGACGCUGAGGCUCGAAAGCGUGGGGAGCAAACAGGAUUAGAUACCCUGGUAGUCCACGCCGUAAACGAUGAGUGCUAAGUGUUGGAGGGUUUCCGCCCUUCAGUGCUGCAGCUAACGCAUUAAGCACUCCGCCUGGGGAGUACGACCGCAAGGUUGAAACUCAAAGGAAUUGACGGGGGCCCGCACAAGCGGUGGAGCAUGUGGUUUAAUUCGAAGCAACGCGAAGAACCUUACCAGGUCUUGACAUCCUUUGACCACUCUAGAGAUAGAGCUUCCCCUUCGGGG
rnacentral:rRNA from 1 species